rnacentral:rRNA from 1 species
CAAAAACAUCGCCUCUUGAAUAAACAUAAGAGGUCCAGCCUGCCCAGUGACUAAUGUUCAACGGCCGCGGUAUCCUAACCGUGCGAAGGUAGCGUAAUCACUUGUUCUUUAAAUGAGGACUAGUAUGAAUGGCACCACGAGGGUUAUACUGUCUCCUUUCUCUGAUCAGUGAAACUAAUCUCCCCGUGAAGAAGCGGGGAUUUAUCUAUAAGACGAGAAGACCCUAUGGAGCUUUAAAUCUCUUUUCAAACGCUAAAAUACUUAUACAAGUCUCAGACUUACCCUACACCCACCCAAGCGCCAUGAAAAUAAUUUUAGGUUGGGGUGACCGCGGAGCACAAAAAAACCUCCAUGCUGAACUAGGCGUCCAAACCUUGAGCUAAGAGCUACGACCCAAUGCACUAAAAAAUUAUCACCAAUUGACCCAAUAUUCAUUUGAUCAACGAACCAAGUUACCCUAGGGAUAACAGCGCAAUCCAUUUCAAGAGUCCGUAUCGACAAAUGGGUUUACGACCUCGAUGUUGGAUCAGGGUCUCCCAGUGGUGCAGCCGCUACUAAUGGUUCGUUUGUUCAACGAUUAAAACCCU